rnacentral:rRNA from 1 species
GGGGUGAGUAAUGUACUGGGAAACUGCCUGAUGGAGGGGGAUAACUACUGGAAACGGUAGCUAAUACCGCAUAAUGUCGCAAGACCAAAGAGGGGGACCUUCGGGCCUCUUGCCAUCAGAUGUGCCCAGAUGGGAUUAGCUUGUUGGUGGGGUAACGGCUCACCAAGGCGACGAUCCCUAGCUGGUCUGAGAGGAUGACCAGCCACACUGGAACUGAGACACGGUCCAG